AAUAAAAAAAGAAGAAAACAAACAUUCCAGCGAAUAAUACUCGGAAUGUCUGCCAGUGACAUGUUUUCUUCCUUCUUUGGUUUCUUUUUAUC
rnacentral:ribozyme from 1 species